GGUCCCGAAGCUGACAUGGUUCAAGCGCCCGGUUGAAGCCCAGGAGAAGUCGGUUCGAUUCCGGCCGGGACCA
rnacentral:tRNA from 2 species